AGAUCAGCUAUGAUGAUUGCUUCUUUUUGUUAUCCUUGCACUUUGAGUUUCACUGUGAAGAGAUCUUACGGCCAAAGUUGUUUCUGAGCUGCUG
rnacentral:snoRNA from 1 species